rnacentral:rRNA from 1 species
GAUGAACGCUAGCUACAGGCUUAACACAUGCAAGUCGAGGGGAAACGAUAUUGGAAGCUUGCUUCCGAUAGGCGUCGACCGGCGCACGGGUGAGUAACGCGUAUCCAACCUGCCCACCACUUGGGGAUAACCUUGCGAAAGUAAGACUAAUACCCAAUGAUAUCUCUAGAAGACAUCUGAAGGAGAUUAAAGAUUUAUCGGUGAUGGAUGGGGAUGCGUCUGAUUAGCUUGUUGGCGGGGUAACGGCCCACCAAGGCGACGAUCAGUAGGGGUUCUGAGAGGAAGGUCCCCCACAUUUGAACUGAGACACGGUCCAAACUCCUACGGGAGGCAGCAGUGAGGAAUAUUGGUCAAUGGGCGAGAGCCUGAACCAGCCAAGUAGCGUGCAGGAUGACGGCCCUAUGGGUUGUAAACUGCUUUUAUAAGGGAAUAAAGUGAGUCUCGUGAGACUUUUUGCAUGUACCUUAUGAAUAAGGACCGGCUAAUUCCGUGCCAGCAGCCGCCGUAA